GACCUCACAGCUUCCUGCUUCCUGGCGACAGCAGGAAGUGGGGACUAAUUGCUGAGCAAGCCUCCCCAUUCCUGCCUGAAAAAAUAGUGUGUGGUGAGACUGGCCUAACAGAGCAGGGAAGUCUCAAGAGGAAUACUGUUUUUAAUAACAGUCUCAUUAUAAUCUCCUCCUUUGGUGUCUCUUGCCUGAGGCAAUAAUACAAGGAGAGCUGGAAGUUCAUAAAGACUGCUGCUCGGAAUCUAUAUACAAAUGGACAAACUAUUGAACAUCAUGGACGAUGCCAGUCACCCUCUGCACACCGUCAUCAGCAACCAGAGGAGACUGGUCAGUGACAGAAUGCUCCUUCCCAAGUGCAGGACUAACAGACUUGAAAACUCCUUUGUCCCUCACGCCAUCAGGCUGUACAACUCCUCUCUGGGGGGGAGGAGGGGUAACAGGAGGACAGAGGAUGGGAAGGAGCAGUAGUCUAGCCUAACAAUAAGCAAUACCGGACAAUGUGCAAUAUUAAAGUGCUGAUGACACGAACAUGACUCUAUGCAAUUUCUUAAAUAAACUAUACAACAUGGCAAACAUGUUAGAUUUCUGUUAUAAUUACGUGAAAAGAAGCUGUUGUUACGCGAAUAUCCAACUUUUAAUUGCACAGCGCAAGAAAACUGGGUCCGUGGCUCGCGGCCAUAUUGUGAUGUCAGCGGAAGAACACGCUGCGGUUCACUGGCUGUUCUACUCAAUGGAAAUGGCGCAUGAAAACGCCGGUGAACUCUCUAGUGCUAGCUCUUCAACAACCAAAUACUGGUACUUUAAGCAGUGAUCAUGAUGGCAUGAUUUUAUCUGAUUUUAAAUAAAUGAGAUUGAUAAUAAUGUGAAUGUUCACAACUAGUACAUUCAAACUCUGCAGCUUCUGAUUCAGCAGCUGCGUCAUACUCCGCAAAAACAUCAGCAAGAACCUACAAUAUAAAUGGAAAUGCAAUACACUAAGCUCAAAUGACUUUUGGAAAGUAUAAUUUCUAAAUUUUUUCUACAUAUUCUUGAAGUCGGUCAUCGGGGUACUUGCUACUGUUCCCUAACAACGCAUGGCAAAGGGUAAAGUGUAGUGUUGCUACGAGUACUUGCUAAAGCCUCCGGUGGAAGAUCCUCGAUGUGCUGAUAAGACAUACAGUUCUAUAUAACACACAAGUGUCACGAUAAUCACAAAACAGAUGCAAAUUGUUAAAAUACUUAAUUUUUAAGCAGUCAUGUAUUGAUCUCUUCCGAAUAGAAUCUAUGAUAGCCUACCCUCUUUACCCUUUGCCUCUCGUUGCUAGGCGGCAGUUACAUGAAAGCCGCAAGCUUUCACAAGCAAAUACAUGACUGAUAUCACGCCGACUUUAUGAUUACAUUUAUGAUUAUCAUGAAUGUGUACUCUAUGAUGUGUACUCUGAGCGCUCUGGAGUGAGUCACUUCCAAGAUGGCCACGCAGACCGCAUGGUUACUAUUUUUAGCAUCAUGUCAGAGCACUCUAUAGCUCUACGUACCUUUAUCUUAUGUCGUUUCUCAACACAUGUUCUGACAGGAGGACUGUCUUUGGAGGAGUCGCCUUGUCCCAGGCGACUGCUGGAUCCGGCAUAGCUACUAGUAGACCCCCUCCGGAAUACUGUAGGCACUGCUGAUGGUAGCAGCACACGUUUGUGCUGAACUGAACACCCAAGAGAUUCUUUUAAGCUGGGAAGGGUGUCAAAACAAUCCAAAUCGAAGUGUUCAGAGCACAGGACGGAUGUUGGUGAGGGCUCCCACUUGUCACGAGUGCGCCUGACUUGCUUCACCCGCUUCGCAUGCAGCUCGGGAUCUCUGGGAAACUUGAAUAAACUUACCCCAUCCUUGUGGGUUUUGGAGCAAAA